rnacentral:rRNA from 1 species
CUUACCAUGCAAGUCGAACGAUGAUCCGGAGCUUGCUCCGGGGAUUAGUGGCGAACGGGUGAGUAACACGUGAGUAACCUGCCCUUGACUCUGGGAUAAGCGUUGGAAACGACGUCUAAUACCGGAUAUGACCUUUGCCGGCAUCGGCUGGAGGUGGAAAGAUUUUUUGGUCAAGGAUGGACUCGCGGCCUAUCAGGUAGUUGGUGAGGUAAUGGCUCACCAAGCCGACGACGGGUAGCCGGCCUGAGAGGGUGACCGGCCACACUGGGACUGAGACACGGCCCAGACUCCUACGGGAGGCAGCAGUGGGGAAUAUUGCACAAUGGGCGAAAGCCUGAUGCAGCAACGCCGCGUGAGGGAUGACGGCCUUCGGGUUGUAAACCUCUUUUAGUAGGGAAGAAGGGAGCUUGCUCUUGACGGUACCUGCAGAAAAAGCACCGGCUAACUACGUGCCAGCAGCCGCGGUAAUACGUAGGGUGCAAGCGUUGUCCGGAAUUAUUGGGCGUAAAGAGCUCGUAGGCGGUUUGUCGCGUCUGCUGUGAAAUCUGGGGGCUCAACCCCCAGCCUGCAGUGGGUACGGGCAGACUAGAGUGCGGUAGGGGAGAUUGGAAUUCCUGGUGUAGCGGUGGAAUGCGCAGAUAUCAGAGGAACACCGAUGGCGAAGGCAGAUCUCUGGGCCGUAACUGACGCUGAGGAGCGAAAGCAUGGGGAGCGAACAGGAUUAGAUACCCUGGUAGUCCAUGCCGUAAACGUUGGGACUAGAUGUAGGGCCAUUCCACGGUUUCUGUGUCGCAGCUAACGCAUAGUCCC